CCUACGGGCGGCAGCAGUGAGGAAUAUUGGUCAAUGGGCGCAAGCCUGAACCAGCCAAGUCGCGUGAGGGAUGACGGUCCUAUGGAUUGUAAACCUCUUUUGUCGGGGAGCAAGGCCCGCCACGUGUGGCGGGAAGGAGAGUACCCGAAGAAAAAGCAUCGGCUAACUCCGUGCCAGCAGCCGCGGUAAUACGGAGGAUGCGAGCGUUAUCCGGAUUUAUUGGGUUUAAAGGGUGUGUAGGCGGAAGGUUAAGUCAGCGGUCAAAUGUCGGUGCUCAACACCGGCCUGCCGUUGAAACUGGUCGUCUUGAGUGAGCGAGAAGUAUGCGGAAUGCGUGGUGUAGCGGUGAAAUGCAUAGAUAUCACGCAGAACUCCGAUUGCGAAGGCAGCAUACCGGCGCUCAACUGACGCUGAGGCACGAAAGCGUGGGGAUCGAACAGGAUUAGAUACCCCUGUAGUC
rnacentral:rRNA from 1 species